CCUACGGGAGACAGCAGUGGGGAAUAUUGGGCAAUGGGCGCAAGCCUGACCCAGCAACGCCGCGUGAAGGAAGAAGGCUUUCUGGUUGUAAACUUCUUUUGACAGGGAAGAGUAGUAGACUGUACCUGCCGCUUUAGCUAUGGCUAACUACGUGCCAGCAGCUGCGGUAAUACGUAGGUCGCAAGCGUUGUCCGGAUUUACUGGGUGUAAAGGGCGUGUAGCCGGGUUGACAAGUCAGAUGUGAAAUCCUGCGGCUUAACCGCAGAACUGCAUUUGAAACUGUUGAUCUUGAGUACUGGAGAGGCAGGCGGAAUUCGUGGUGUAGCGGUGAAAUGCGUAGAUAUUAGGAGGAACACCAGUGGCGAAGGCAGUCUGCUGGACAGCAACUGACGGUGAGGCGCGAAAGCGUGGGGAGCAAACAGGAUUAGAUACCCCUGUAGUC
rnacentral:rRNA from 1 species